rnacentral:rRNA from 1 species
UACGUAGGGGGCAAGCGUUGUCCGGAAUCAUUGGGCGUAAAGAGCGUGUAGGCGGUCCGGUAAGUCGGUUGUGAAAGUCCAGGGCUCAACCCUGGGAUGCCGAUCGAUACUGUCGGACUAGAGUUCGGAAGAGGCGAGUGGAAUUCCCGGUGUAGCGGUGAAAUGCGCAGAUAUCGGGAGGAACACCAAUUGCGAAGGCAGCUCGCUGGGACGUUACUGACGCUGAGACGCGAAAGCGUGGGGAGCAAACAGG